rnacentral:lncRNA from 1 species
AAAUGACAAAAAGAGAAUCCUAAUUGUUUGUGCCGCUUGUUUAGUACUAGGAGUAACAGUCCAAGUAAAACUGGUGUUAUUAGUAGAUGUAGGAAUUACAAUUUGGUAGGGCUUUGGGUGAAACUAUUUUAAAGCAAAAGCUAUUUUAUUAGUGAACACAGUCUUGGUAACAUCAUGUAUUCUUUCACUACCUAACCUAGUUUCUGGAGUUUUUCUUCAAUGGAUAAAACUAUUGAUUCUUGCCACCAAAACAUGAGAUGGCAUAUGUUUCCAUUGUAUGUGUUCUUGGCCUUGUUUGAGCAUUGUUCUGACGCCUUCAUUUCUUUCAACAUGUGUUAAGAUGGGUCAACUUUCAGGCAUUUAUGUUUCAGAAUUUAUCUUCUAGUAUUGAAUACUUUGUAUUUGCGGUUCACAGUGUUGUGUUCUAAGAAUCUCUCUUCUAAUAUCAAAUACUCUGCUAAGAUGUAUCUUAAUUUUUGUUUGUUUGGUCUUGAGUUAUGGCAACAACGGUUGUGUGUGAUGAAUUUCCAUUUUUUU